GCCACAUGAUGAAUAGCGUAGAUGCAGCAGCCCUCGGGCCGUGGUGACCUGUCAUCUAUCACCCUUGACUGAUGGCU